rnacentral:rRNA from 1 species
AGAGUUUGAUCCUGGCUCAGGAUGAACGCUAGCUACAGGCUUAACACAUGCAAGUCGUGGGGCAGCGGAUGCUUAGCUUGCUAAGUAUGCCGGCGACCGGCGCACGGGUGAGUAACGCGUACCGAACCUGCCCAUCACACAGGGAUAGGCUUGCGAAAGCAAGAUUAAUACCUGAUGGUCUCAAUUUUAUGCAUGUAUGAUUGAGUAAAGCCUUCGGGCGGUGAUGGAUGGCGGUGCGUCCCAUUAGGAAGUUGGCGGGGUAACGGCCCACCAAUCCUUCGAUGGGUAGGGGUUCUGAGAGGAAGGUCCCCCACAUUGGAACUGAGAUACGGUCCAAACUCCUACGGGAGGCAGCAGUGAGGAAUAUUGGUCAAUGGGCGAGAGCCUGAACCAGCCAAGUAGCGUGCGGGAUGAAGGCCCUUGUGGUCGUAAACCGCUUUUAUCAGUGAAUAAAGUGCAUCACGUGUGGUGUCAUUGCAGGUAGCUGAAGAAAAAGGACCGGCUAAUUCCGUGCCAGCAGCCGCGGUAAUACGGAAGGUCCGGGCGUUAUCCGGAAUUAUUGGGUUUAAAGGGAGCGCAGGCGGGAGUAUAAGUCAGCUGUUAAAUAUCAGAGCCCAACUCUGUUAUGCAGUUGAAACUAUAUUUCUUGAGUACGCACAGGGAUGGUGGAAUUCAGGGUGUAGCGGUGAAAUGCUUAGAUAUCCUGAAGAACUCCGAUCGCGAAGGCAGCCAUCCGGAGCGUAACUGACGCUGAGGCUCGAAGGUGCGGGUAUCGAACAGGAUUAGAUACCCUGGUAGUCCGCACGGUAAACGAUGAAUACUCGCAGUUCGGCCGUUUAGGUCGAGUUGUCCAGCGAAAGCGUUAAGUAUUCCACCUGGGGAGUACGCCGGCAACGGUGAAACUCAAAGGAAUUGACGGGGGCCCGCACAAGCGGAGGAACAUGUGGUUUAAUUCGAUGAUACGCGAGGAACCUUACCCGGGCUUGAACCAAGAGUGACGAGUGCAGAGAUGCACUUUUUCUUCGGACACUUUUGGAGGUGCUGCAUGGUUGUCGUCAGCUCGUGCCGUGAGGUGUCGGCUUAAGUGCCAUAACGAGCGCAACCCCUUUCCUUAGUUGCCAUCAGGUCAUGCUGGGCACUCUGGGGACACUGCCACCGCAAGGUGUGAGGAAGGUGGGGAUGACGUCAAAUCAGC